rnacentral:rRNA from 1 species
AUUGAACGCUGGCGGCAGGCCUAACACAUGCAAGUCGAGCGGAUGAAGGGAGCUUGCUCCUGGAUUCAGCGGCGGACGGGUGAGUAAUGCCUAGGAAUCUGCCUGGUAGUGGGGGAUAACGUCCGGAAACGGGCGCUAAUACCGCAUACGUCCUGAGGGAGAAAGUGGGGGAUCUUCGGACCUCACGCUAUCAGAUGAGCCUAGGUCGGAUUAGCUAGUUGGUGGGGUAAAGGCCUACCAAGGCGACGAUCCGUAACUGGUCUGAGAGGAUGAUCAGUCACACUGGAACUGAGACACGGUCCAGACUCCUACGGGAGGCAGCAGUGGGGAAUAUUCGACAAUGGGCGAAAGCCUGAUCCAGCCAUGCCGCGUGUGUGAAGAAGGUCUUCGGAUUGUAAAGCUCUUUAGGUUGGGAGGAAGGGCAGUAAGUUAAUACCUUGCUGUUUUGACGUUACCAACAGAAUAAGCACCGGCUAACUUCGUG